rfam:Micromonospora echinofusca strain DSM 43913 genome assembly, chromosome: I
CUUGAUGGAGCCGAGCCACAGGGGCUGGUCGUCGGCCCGGUCGCGGCCGUACGUGGCGAGCAGCGCCUGCGCCUC